rnacentral:lncRNA from 1 species
UUAAGGAUACAGAGGCUCUCCUGAGAGAUAUUGCUUUGACAAUCUGGAGGCUGAAUUACUAGAAAGGAAAACUACACCAACAAGCUAUGACAGAAGAUUAUGGGAAAAGUUGCAAACUGCUAAUGAGGAAAAAAAAGUCAAUUAUACCAUAUAGACAGCAGAACCAAAUGAACAAACAAACAAAACAGCUGUACACAUUUGCCUCAGAAAAAGGAAUAAGGAUGAAAGAAGGGGAGAUCUUGACUAAGAUGCAUGCUAAAAGCUGAAGCCAUCAGAAUUUAAGUUAUGAUGCAUGAUUUGCUUUGUAUAAGAGCUGUGAAAACAGUGCAGUUUGAAUAAGGGAAUAUAUAGUAUUAUUCUGCUUUCACUUCCUUUUAUCAUUUUGUCAUAACAUCUGUUAUAUAUGGCAAUACUAUAAUUCAUUACAUCUAUGAAAACAUUACACUAGAGAAAAUAUUAAAAUACAGUAUCUUCAUUAGAUUUUUGCUUUUUCUGUCUGUUCCUAACACCUAAUUAUUAUCUUGUGAUUCAGUGUAUUAAAUAAGUGUUUUUACAAAAUAUUCUGUUUUAACUUCAUACAUGUUGUCUUUUAGUUUUCUUUGCUUUUGUAUUAUAAAAGAAAAUGAACAGAUUUACUUAAUCAGCUUUGACUUAGAUACAUUUCUUUUCAGAAAUUAUGAGCAGUAGCAAAGUAUUUCAUCUACAAUUAGAAAAAUUUUGGGGAAAUGACUUUAAAAUAUAUGAAAGUGUAUGCAUUCUUGUCCUUCCUACAGCUUAUGUUGCUUUAGGAACAUGAGUCUAUCUACAGUUGACCUGGCUGUAUGUUAGUAUGCUCCCCGAUAGUUCUUCUUUUUGUCCCUGCUCUAUCAAUCACCAUCAUCAGUAGUUACUUUUUAUGCAUUGGACUCCAGUAAACAAAUAGAUACUGUUGACUAUGUAUGGAAUAUCAUAAUCUAGUCUUAGUGUACAAUCACUUUAACUUUUACUUCUCUUGAAAACAACCUUGUAUUGAAUGUACACAGCAUCUUACUUCAAUAAAGUUCAGUACAGC